GCCAGGUAUGGUGGCGCAUGCCUGUAAUCCCAGUUACUUGGGAGGCUGAGGUAGGAGAAUUGCUUGAACCCGGGAGGCAGAGGUUGCAGUGAGCCGAGAUCGUGCCACUGCACUCCAGCCUGGGUGACAGAGCAAGACUCUGUCUCAA
rnacentral:SRP_RNA from 1 species